GACGAACGCUGGCGGCGUGCUUAACACAUGCAAGUCGAACGAUGAAGCCGGAGCUUGCUCUGGUGGAUUAGUGGCGAACGGGUGAGUAACACGUGAGUAACCUGCCCUUGACUCUGGGAUAAGCGUUGGAAACGACGUCUAAUACCGGAUACGAGCUGGGACCGCAUGGUCACUAGCUGGAAAGAACUUCGGUCAAGGAUGGACUCGCGGCCUAUCAGCUUGUUGGUGAGGUAACGGCUCACCAAGGCGACGACGGGUAGCCGGCCUGAGAGGGUGACCGGCCACACGGGGACUGAGACACGGCCCAGACUCCUACGGGAGGCAGCAGUGGGGAAUAUUGCACAAUGGGCGCAAGCCUGAUGCAGCAACGCCGCGUGAGGGACGACGGCCUUCGGGUUGUAAACCUCUUUUAGCAGGGAAGAAGCGAAAGUGACGGUACCUGCAGAAAAAGCACCGGCUAACUACGUGCCAGCCGCCGCCGUAACAC
rnacentral:rRNA from 1 species